rnacentral:rRNA from 1 species
UAGGGAAUCUUCCACAAUGGACGAAAGUCUGAUGGAGCAAUGCCGCGUGAAUGAAGAAGGUCUUCGGAUCGUAAAGUUCUGUUAUUAGAGAAGAACAAGUCGAGGAGUAACUGUCUCGACUUUGACGGUACCUAACCAGAAAGUCACGGCUAACUACGUGCCAGCAGCCGCGGUAAUACGUAGGUGACGAGCGUUGUCCGGAAUUAUUGGGCGUAAAGGGAGCGCAGGCGGUUGGAAUAGUCUGAUGUGAAAGCCCACGGCUUAACCGUGGAAGGUCAUUGGAAACUGUCCAACUUGAAUGCA